rnacentral:lncRNA from 1 species
GAAAUAUCACAGCAGUAGACGUGCCUCACAAUCUUCAAAAGAAAAUUGAAUGGAUUGCCUAUGAUUCGUCAUCUCAGACAAUUUCUCAUGGUAUAUGUGCCCAAGAAACAAGUACAAAAACAUGCGAAAGGGAAUGCCACCAGGAUGCCCUGAAGUCGAUGCAGAAGUGAAAGCAAGAAAGGCAAGCGAAAGUUGUGACACAUGCUCAAAAUCUGGGUUUCGAAGACAGGUGAUCAGCUGCAAGUUUGUAUGCAUAUUUCGUUAGAUAAACUGACUCUCCUUUCUUUGUUAUGUGGCUUAGUUGAAACAUUUAGUUGCUUCUCUUGAUG